CUUUAUGGUGGUCAUGCGUAGGGCGUCCUCGGGCGCGCCGGGUGCCAGAUGACCGGUCUACCAACCUUCGUAUGGCCACCACCCUU
rnacentral:antisense_RNA from 4 species